CGAAAGCCUGACGGAGCAACGCCGCGUGUGGGAAGAAGGCCCUUGGGUUGUAAACCCCUUUUCUCAGGGAAGAAGUUCUGACGGUACCUGAGGAAUCAGCCUCGGCUAACUCCGUGCCAGCAGCCGCGGUAAUACGGAGGAGGCAAGCGUUAUCCGGAAUUAUUGGGCGUAAAGCGUCCGCAGGGGGCGCAUCAAGUCUGCUGUCAAAGGUCGGAGCUUAACUCCGGUUAGGCAGUGGAAACUGGUGCGCUAGAGGGCGACAGGGGUAGAGGGAAUUCCCAGUGUAGCGGUGAAAUGCGUAGAGAUUGGGAAGAACACCGGUGGCGAAAGCGCUCUACUGGGUCGCGCCUGACCCUCAGGGACGAAAGCUAAGGUAGCG
rnacentral:rRNA from 1 species